rnacentral:rRNA from 1 species
UCCGUAGGGGGCAAGCGUUGUCCGGAUUUAUUGGGCGUAAAGCGCGUGUAGGCGGUCAGGUAGGUCCGUUGUGAAAACUCGAGGCUCAACCUCGAGACGCCGAUGGAAACCAUCUGACUAGAGUCCGGAAGAGGAGAGUGGAAUUCCUGGUGUAGCGGUGAAAUGCGCAGAUAUCAGGAAGAACACCCGUGGCUAAGGCGGCUCUCUAGUACGGUACUGACGCUGAGACACGAAAGCGUGGGUAGCAAACAGG